rnacentral:tRNA from 1 species
UCCCUGGUGGUCUAGUGGUUAAGACUUGGCAUUUUCACCACAGUGGCCCGGGUUCCAUCCCUGGUCAGGGAA